GCCCUUUUAGCCCAGUGGUUAAGGCUUCAGGUUGCACAGGUCUGUUCAUCACAGAAUACCAGGGUACCCCAAGGGCUGGUUCAACCCUUGCAUAUGGCA